rnacentral:rRNA from 1 species
UCAGCAGCCGCGGUAAUACGUAGGUGGCAAGCGUUAUCCGGAUUUAUUGGGCGUAAAGAGAGUGCAGGCGGUUCUCUAAGUCUGAUGUGAAAGCCUUCGGCUUAACCGGAGAAGUGCAUCGGAAACUGGAUAACUUGAGUGCAGAAGAGGGUAGUGGAACUCCAUGUGUAGCGGUGGAAUGCGUAGAUAUAUGGAAGAACACCAGUGGCGAAGGCGGCUACCUGGUCUGCAACUGACGCUGAGACUCGAAAGCAUGGGUAGCGAACAGGAUUAGAUACCCUGGUAGUCCACGCUGUAAACGAUGUCGACUUGGAGGUUGUUCCCUUGAGGAGUGGCUUCCGGAGCUAACGCGUUAAGUCGACCGCCUGGGGAGUACGGCCGCAAGGUUAAAACUCAAAUGAAUUGACGGGGGCCCGCACAAGCGGUGGAGCAUGUGGUUUAAUUCGAUGCAACGCGAAGAACCUUACCUACUCUUGACAUCCAGAGAACUUAGCAGAGAUGCUUUGGUGCCUUCGGGAACUCUGAGACAGGUGCUGCAUGGCUGUCGUCAGCUCGUGUUGUGAAAUGUUGGGUUAAGUCCCGCAACGAGCGCAACCCUUAUCCUUUGUUGCCAGCGAUUCGGUCGGGAACUCAAAGGAGACUGCCAGUGAUAAACUGGAGGAAGGUGGGGAUGACGUCAAGUCAUCAUGGCCCUUACGAGUAGGGCUACACACGUGCUACAAUGGCAUAUACAAAGAGAAGCGACCUCGCGAGAGCAAGCGGACCUCAUAAAGUAUGUCGUAGUCCGGAUUGGAGUCUGCAACUCGACUCCAUGAAGUCGGAAUCGCUAGUAAUCGUAGAUCAGAAUGCUACGGUGAAUACGUUCCCGGGCCUUGUACACACCGCCCGUCACACCAUGGGAGUGGGUUGCAAAAGAAGUAGGUAGCUUAACCUUCGGGAGGGCGCUUACCACUUUGUGAUUCAUGACUGGGGUGAAGUCGUAACAAGGUAGCCGU